rnacentral:rRNA from 1 species
GACGAACGCUGGCAGCGUGCUUAACACAUGCAAGUCGAACGGAAAGGCCCCUUUGGGGGUACUCGAGUGGCGAACGGGUGAGUAACACGUGAGUAACCUGCCCUUGACUUCGGGAUAACUUCAGGAAACUGGGGCUAAUACCGGAUAGGAAUCCUUGCUGCAUGGUGGGGGUUGGAAAGCUUCGGCGGUUUUGGAUGGACUCGCGGCUUAUCAGCUUGUUGGUGGGGUAGUGGCUUACCAAGGCUUUGACGGGUAGCCGGCCUGAGAGGGCGACCGGCCACAUUGGGACUGAGAUACGGCCCAGACUCCUACGGGAGGCAGCGGUGGGGAAUAUUGCACAAUGGGCGGAAGCCUGAUGCAGCAACGCCGCGUGCGGGAUGACGGCCUUCGGGUUGUAAACCGCUUUCAGCAGGGGCGAAGCUUGUGGUGACGGUACCUGCAGAAGAAGCACCGGCUAACUACGUG